AUUGAACGCUGGCGGCAGGCCUAACACAUGCAAGUCGAGCGGUAACAGAACUAGCUUGCUAGUUGCUGACGAGCGGCGGACGGGUGAGUAACGCGUAGGAAUCUACCCAGUAGCGGGGGAUAGCCCAGAGAAAUUUGGAUUAAUACCGCAUACGCCCUUCGGGGGAAAGCAGGGGAUCUUCGGACCUUGUGCUAUUGGAUGAGCCUGCGUGAGAUUAGCUUGUUGGUGAGGUAAAAGCUCACCAAGGCGACGAUCUCUAGCUGGUCUGAGAGGAUGAUCAGCCACACUGGAACUGAGACACGGUCCAG
rnacentral:rRNA from 1 species